rnacentral:rRNA from 1 species
AACGAACGCUGGCGGCAGGCCUAACACAUGCAAGUCGAGCGAGGACUUCGGUCCUAGCGGCGGACGGGUGAGUAACGCGUGGGAACGUGCCCUUUGCUUCGGAAUAGCCCUGGGAAACUGGGAGUAAUACCGGAUGAGCCCUUUGGGGGAAAGAUUUAUCGGCGAAGGAUCGGCCCGCGUUGGAUUAGGUAGUUGGUGGGGUAAUGGCCUACCAAGCCGACGAUCCAUAGCUGGUUUGAGAGGAUGAUCAGCCACACUGGGACUGAGACACGGCCCAGACUCCUACGGGAGGCAGCAGUGGGGGAUCUUAGACAAUGGGGGAAACCCUGAUCUAGCCAUGCCGCGUGAGCGAUGAAGGCCUUAGGGUUGUAAAGCUCUUUCAGCUGGGAAGAUAAUGACGGUACCAGCAGAAGAAGCCCCGGCUAACUCCGUG